GUGUGUGUGUGUGUGUCAGCGCUGGGCUGCAGUCGGACUCAUUCAGCCGUGACUCUGGGCGACUGGAGUGACCCGUUAGAUCCUGAUGCUGAAACACAGAUCAUUUAUAAAGAGCUGCUGCAGGGCCGAGACAAACUCAGGAAGCAGUACCUGGAGACACAGGAAGUUGAGCCAGCAGAACAGGAAGUGCCGCUGAAGGCCAGUCAGCCGUCAUCAGUGUCUGCGCAGAGCCGAUCCGAGCGCGCUCGAGCCGUCGCCGCUCGUCUGCUGGACGUCGUGCUGGAUUUAGAACGAGCUCAUUCGACCUUCCAGAGCCGAGAGCCAGACGAGAGCCGUCCGCUCAUCCUGAGCUCAUAGAGAGCGUGAGAAACGCUCCAGAGUCACGUUCACCUGCCGUUACUGUUCUUCAGCUUCAGCGCUCAGGAACAAGAACUGAAAAAUCGAAUUAUGCAAUGUUUUGGAAGCAAACUUGAGUUAUUGAUGAAUGUCCGUGGAAAUGUCAAUUUUUACGUAUUUGUACUUAGAAGUGUUUUUAACUUGAUGCGCUGGGCUGAUUUGAUCACAGAUGCUUCUAAAAUCAGCCGUGUGUGUGAGAGUCUUACAGUCUGCAUGGCAUUACUGUACACUAAACAGCAUGAACACAU